rnacentral:tRNA from 1 species
GCCGGGGUGUUGGAAUUGGCAGACAACUCGGACUUAAAAUCCGAUGUUCCGAGAGGGACGUGCGGGUUCAAGUCCCGCCCCCGGCA